rnacentral:lncRNA from 1 species
CAGGCUUUAAAGCUCCCAACAAAGGAAUCAAGAGGGAUGGAAUGGCAUUGAGAUAACAUCCGACUGUCUGAUGAAAUGGUACUGUCAGAGGGAAUCUGUAUUCCUGUGCAAGAACUGCUUGCCUGGAUUUCCAGGACUGGCCACAAAAAUGCUGCAUGGAGUCAACCAUUAAUCAAACAGAAAGGACUCACCUGCAUAGAA